rnacentral:rRNA from 1 species
UCAGGAUGAACGCUAGCGGCAGGCUUAACACAUGCAAGUCGAGGGGCAUCGGGAGUAGCAAUACUGCCGGCGACCGGCGCAAGGGUGCGUAACGCGUGAGCAACAUGCCCGUAUCAGGGGGAUAAUCCAUGGAAACGUGGUCUAAUACCCCAUAGUAAUUAUGUAAGGCAUCUUAUAUAAUUUAAAGCUUUGGUGGAUACGGAUUGGCUCGCGUGACAUUAGCUAGGAUGGUAAGGUAACGGCUUACCAUGGCUACGAUGUCUAGGGGUUCUGAGAGGAAGGUCCCCCCACACUGGAACUGAGACACGGUCCAGACUCCUACGGGAGGCAGCAGUGAGGAAUAUUGGACAAUGGAUGGAAAUCUGAUCCAGCCAUGCCGCGUGCAAGGAAGACGGCCCUAUGGGUUGUAAACUGCUUUUGUAUGGGAGCAAUAAGGGCUACGUGUAGUCCGAUGAGAGUACCAUACGAAUAAGCACCGGCUAACUCCGUGCCAGCCGCGGC